rnacentral:tRNA from 1 species
GGUGGCUUAGCUCAGCUGUGAUAUCGCCUGCUUUGCACGCAGGAGGUCAGCGGUUCGAUACCGCUAGACUCCACCA